GGAGGAUCCAAGCGUUAUCCGGAAUCAUUGGGUUUAAAGGGUCCGUAGGCGGUUUAAUAAGUCAGUGGUGAAAGCCCAUCGCUCAACGGUGGAACGAUCAUUGAUACUGUUAGACUUGAAUUAUUAGGAAGUAACUAGAAUAUGUAGUGUAGCGGUGAAAUGCUUAGAGAUUACAUGGAAUACCAAUUGCGAAGGCAGGUUACUACUAAUGGAUUGACGCUGAUGGACGAAAGCGUGGGUAGCGAACAGGAUUAGAUACCCUGGUAGUCCACGCCGUAAACGAUGGAUACUAGCUGUUGGGAGCAAUCUCAGUGGCUAAGCGAAAGUGAUAAGUAUCCCACCUGGGGAGUACGUUCGCAAGAAUG
rnacentral:rRNA from 1 species